GUGCUCAAUUGGGCACAACAUAUACUAAAAUUGAAACGAUACAGAGAAGUUUAUCUGUGCAAGGAUGACACACAAAUUCAUGAAGCAUUCCAUAUUUUG
ensembl:snRNA U6 U6 spliceosomal RNA